rnacentral:snRNA from 1 species
AGAUGUGAGAGUGGUCUGGCUUUGAGAUCUAUCACUCCAUUGAUCACCAGGAUUGACUUGGUUGAUCUUACUGGCUAAGUUGGUGUGCCUUUCUUUCCACACCAUUCCUUCUAGAUACUCCAAGCUGCAUACUCACUGAAAGAGGAUGAGAUUUCCAUAAUAGAGAAGGAGCUGCUAGGGUGUACAUUGAGAUCCCCACCUAGAACCUCCAAACACACCUCUUAAGAACAAUGCUUUCUUAAAGACAUGCAAGAGAAAUAGAACCAGGUGGCCACACCCUUGCAGAAUCUUUAUACAUGGCUAUUUAAAUAGCAU